rnacentral:rRNA from 1 species
AGGACGAACGCUUGCGACGUGCCUAAGAAAUGCAAGUCGAACGGAAUUACCUUCGGGUAGUUUAGUGGCGAACGGUCGCGUAACACGUGGGCAACCUGCCCUGAAGCGGGGGACAACAACUCGAAAGAGUUGCUAAUACCGCAUGUGUAUCGGAAUGGCAUCAUUCAGGAUACAAAGGACUUCGGUUCACUUCAGGAUGGGCCCGCGGCCUAUCAGCUAGUUGGUAAGGUAAUGGCUUACCAAGGCUUCGACGGGUAGCUGGUCUGAGAGGACGAUCAGCCGGAUUGGGACUGAGAUACGGCCCAGACUCCUACGGGGGGCAGCAAUUAGGAAUCUUGCGCAAUGGGCGAAAGCCUGACGCAGCGACGUCGCGUGAAGGAUGAAAUCUUUCGGGAUGUAAACUUCUUUUACCAGGGAAGAAACAAUGACGGUACCUGGUGAAUAAGCCCCGGCUAACUACGCGCCAGCAGCCGC